rnacentral:rRNA from 1 species
GACGGAGGGUGCUAGCGUUGGUCGGCUUUACCGGGCGUAAAGGGCGCGUAGGCGGCCUGGUCAGUCGGGUGUGAAAGCCCGGGGCUCAACCCCGGAACGGCACCCGAGACGGUCAGGCUGGAGACCGGGAGAGGAGGGUGGAAUAGCCAGUGUAGAGGUGAAAUUCGUAGAUAUUGGCUGGAACACCGGUGGCGAAAGCGGCUCUCUGGCCCGAUUCUGACGCUGAGGCGCGAAAGCGUGGGGAGCAAACAGG